GCGGCCGUAACUAUAACGGUCCUAAGGUAGCGAAAUUCCUUGUCGGGUAAGUUCCGACCCGCACGAAAGGCGUAACGAUUUGGGCACUGUCUCAACGAGAGACUCGGUGAAAUCAUAGUACCUGUGAAGAUGCAGGUUACCCGCGACAGGACGGAAAGACCCCGUGGAGCUUUACUGUAGCCUGAUAUUGAAAUUCGGCACAGCUUGUACAGGAUAGGUAGGAGCCUUUGAAACGUGAGCGCUAGCUUACGUGGAGGCGCUGGUGGGAUACUACCCUAGCUGUGUUGGCUUUCUAACCCGCACCACUUAUCGUGGUGGGAGACAGUGUCAGGCGGGCAGUUUGACUGGGGCGGUCGCCUCCUAAAAGGUAACGGAGGCGCUCAAAGGUUCCCUCAGAAUGGUUGGAAAUCAUUCAUAGAGUGUAAAGGCAUAAGGGAGCUUGACUGCGAGACCUACAAGUCGAGCAGGGUCGAAAGACGGACUUAGUGAUCCGGUGGUUCCGCAUGGAAGGGCCAUCGCUCAACGGAUAAAAGCUACCCCGGGGAUAACAGGCUUAUCUCCCCCAAGAGUUCACAUCGACGGGGAGGUUUGGCACCUCGAUGUCGGCUC
rnacentral:rRNA from 1 species